ACUUAAAUUGAAGAGUUUGAUCAUGGCUCAGAUUGAACGCUGGCGGCAGGCCUAACACAUGCAAGUCGAGCGGUAGCACAGAGAGCUUGCUCUCGGGUGACGAGCGGCGGACGGGUGAGUAAUGUCUGGGAAACUGCCUGAUGGAGGGGGAUAACUACUGGAAACGGUAGCUAAUACCGCAUAACGUCGCAAGACCAAAGUGGGGGACCUUCGGGCCUCAUGCCAUCAGAUGUGCCCAGAUGGGAUUAGCUAGUAGGUGGGGUAACGGCUCACCUAGGCGACGAUCCCUAGCUGGUCUGAGAGGAUGACCAGCCACACUGGAACUGAGACACGGUCCAGACUCCUACGGGAGGCAGCAGUGGGAAUAUUGCACAAUGGGCGCAAGCCUGAUGCAGCCAUGCCGCGUGUGAAGAAGGCCUUCGGGUUGUAAAGCACUUUCAGCGGGGAGGAAGGCGAUAAGGUUAAUAACCUUGUCGAUUGACGUUACCCGCAGAAGAAGCACCGGCUAACUCCGUGCCAGCAGCCGCGGUAAUACGGAGGGUGCAAGCGUUAAUCGGAAUUACUGGGCGUAAAGCGCACGCAGGCGGUCUGUCAAGUCGGAUGUGAAAUCCCCGGGCUCAACCUGGGAACUGCAUUCGAAACUGGCAGGCUAGAGUCUUGUAGAGGGGUAGAAUUCGGUGUAGCGGUGAAAUGCGUAGAGAUCUGGAGGAAUACCGGUGGCGAAGGCGGCCCCCUGGACAAAGACUGACGCUCAGGUGCGAAAGCGUGGGGAGCAAACAGGAUUAGAUACCCUGGUAGUCCACGCCGUAAACGAUGUCGAUUUGGAGGUUGUGCCCUUGAGGCGUGGCUUCCGGAGCUAACGCGUUAAAUCGACCGCCUGGGGAGUACGGCCGCAAGGUUAAAACUCAAAUGAAUUGACGGGGGCCCGCACAAGCGGUGGAGCAUGUGGUUUAAUUCGAUGCAACGCGAAGAACCUUACCUGGUCUUGACAUCCACAGAACUUUCCAGAGAUGGAUUGGUGCCUUCGGGAACUGUGAGACAGGUGCUGCAUGGCUGUCGUCAGCUCGUGUUGUGAAAUGUUGGGUUAAGUCCCGCAACGAGCGCAACCCUUAUCCUUUGUUGCCAGCGGUUAGGCCGGGAACUCAAAGGAGACUGCCAGUGAUAAACUGGAGGAAGGUGGGGAUGACGUCAAGUCAUCAUGGCCCUUACGACCAGGGCUACACACGUGCUACAAUGGCAUAUACAAAGAGAAGCGACCUCGCGAGAGCAAGCGGACCUCAUAAAGUAUGUCGUAGUCCGGAUUGGAGUCUGCAACUCGACUCCAUGAAGUCGGAAUCGCUAGUAAUCGUAGAUCAGAAUGCUACGGUGAAUACGUUCCCGGGCCUUGUACACACCGCCCGUCACACCAUGGGAGUGGGUUGCAAAAGAAGUAGGUAGCUUAACCUUCGGGAGGGCGCUUACCACUUUGUGAUUCAUGACUGGGGUGAAGUCGUAACAAGGUAACCGUAGGGGAACCUGCGGUUGGAUCACCUCCUUACCUUAAAGAA
rnacentral:rRNA from 1 species